rnacentral:rRNA from 1 species
UGCAGUCGAACGAUGAUAGAAGAGCUUGCUCUUCUUGAUUAGUGGCGCACGGGUGAGUAUACCAUAGAUAAUGUACCUCUUAGUUCGGGAUAGCCACUGGAAACGGUGAUUAAUACCGGAUACUCCUUCUCANUAUAAGAUGAGUCGGGAAAGUUUUUUCGCUAAGAGAUCAGUCUAUGUCCUAUCAGCUAGUUGGUGAGGUAAUGGCUCACCAGGGCUAUGACGGGUAUCUGGUUUGAGAGGAUGAUCAGACACACUGGAACUGAGACACGGUCCAGACUCCUACGGGAGGCAGCAGUGAGGAAUAUUGCGCAAUGGUCGCAAGACUGACGCAGCAACGCCGCGUGAGGGAUGAAGUACUUCGGUAUGUAAACCUCUGUUAGAAGGGAAGAACGGGUGGAUGUCGAACAGGCAUUCAUCGUGACGGUACCUUCAGAGAAAGCCCCGGCUAACUCCGUGCCAGCAGCCGCGGUAAUACGGGGGGGGCAAGCGUUGUCCGGAAUUAUUGGGCGUAAAGGGCGCGUAGGUGGGACAGCAAGUCUGGGGUGCAAUCUUACGGCUUAACUGUAAGCUUGCCCUGGAUACUACUGUUCUUGAGUUCGGAAGAGGGUAGUGGAAUUCCUGGUGUAGCGGUGAAAUGCGUAGAUAUCAGGAAGAACACCGGUGGCGAAGGCGGCUACCUGGUCCGAUACUGACACUGAGGCGCGAAAGUGCGGGGAGCAAACAGGAUUAGAUACCCUGGUAGUCCGCACAGUAAACGUUGGACACUAGGUGUUGGUCUUUAUGAGAUCAGCGCCGCAGCUAACGCAUUAAGUGUCCCGCCUGGGGAGUACGACCGCAAGGUUGAAACUCAAAGGAAUUGACGGGGGCCCGCACAAGCGGUGGAGCAUGUGGUUUAAUUCGAUGCAACGCGAAAAACCUUACCUGGGCUUGAACUGUGGUCGCAAACUCAUGAAAGUGAGUCCUCCUUCGGGACGGCCAUAGAGGUGCUGCAUGGCUGUCGUCAGCUCGUGCCGUGAGGUGUUGGGUUAAGUCCCGCAACGAGCGCAACCCUUGCCCUUAGUUGCCAACAGGUUAUGCUGGGAACUCUAAGGGGACUGCCCCAGACAAUGGGGAGGAAGGUGGGGACGACGUCAAGUCAUCAUGGCCCUUACGUCCAGGGCUACACACGUGCUACAAUGGCCGGUACAAUGGGAAGCAAUACCGCGAGGUGGAGCAAAUCCUAAAAACCGGUCUCAGUUCAGAUUGCAGUCUGCAACUCGACUGCAUGAAGUCGGAAUCGCUAGUAANCGUGGAUCAGCAUGCCACGGUGAAUACGUUCCCGGGCCUUGUACACACCGCCCGUCACGCCAUGGAAGCCGGUAGCACCCAAAGCCAGUGGCCCAAC